UCAUGCACAUACACAUGCACACAUCAUCACAAAUGAGCAAGAAAGACAGCUAGGAAAAAAGAAUUUGAGAAUCGUCCAGUUGGGCAGAUCGUCGCAUAAAUUCGUGCACAACAGGUGUCCUUGUCUGGGUAUUAUUCGAUUUGUUUUGUCAACACUAUUUUUUUCCUUUUUCCUUUUUCCUCUUCCCGGCAUUUUU
rnacentral:ribozyme from 1 species